GGCCGCCCUCCUCCCUGCGCCGCGGCGCCCGGCUGGCCGAGGAGGCCCUUCCUGGUGGAGCCCGGCCGCGCCGGCAGCGCUGCCCUGGGCGCGGGCCCGCGUCGCCGGAAGGCUGGGAGGGCCGGGUGCCUCAGACUUGGACCGACACACAUGCAGUAGCGCAUUGUGAUUGCCAUAUUGAUGACGCGGCGGUAAUUGAGUACAGGGUGAGAUACAUCUGGUUAAACGAACUAUAUCUGAGGUGAUUUCAAGUCUCCUUCUUCUGGUGAAAUGCAGCCCGACGACAUUCCGGUCGGGCUCCCGCGCGGCCUCCCGCCGGUGACCCGGCCCCGGAAAGGGCUGCGCUGGCCGCGGGCGGCGCUGAGGCCCCGGAGGCUGAGCGCGGCCGCCGGGUCGGUGAACACGAGUGUGCGGCCGCCAGCUGCCUCCGGGGGCCUCAGCGCCGCCCGCGGCCGAACGGGCUCGGGACGCACAUCCCGGGGGAGCUCGCGGGAAGCCCUCGGCCCCUCAGUGUGCGAGCCGCUCAGGCCGGCAGGAGGCCGGGGCGCGCGGAGGACGAGACGGCUGGCCUGGGUCGCACCCGUGGCCUCGGCCAGGCUGCGGCCUGAGCUCCGUGCGGCGGGCGGCAGGAAGGGCCACCCGGACAGGGGCUGCAGGGAGACCGCGGAGCUCCCCGGGCCACCGGAGGCCGGUGCCGGGCUCCCGGAGCCCCCACGGCUGCUGCCAGGGGAUGCCCGCGCGCCACGCGGCUCCCCGGCCGGCCGCCGGGGGCCCCUCCUCCGUUCGCUCUGCCCGGCGCCCCCCGCCCCGGUGCAGCCCUGAGCGGUGCACCUGCCCCGACAGCUCGUUCCGGGAAGCACGGGUUUAUUCCGCUCCCGCGCCGCCAGAGGGAAAGAACACCCCUCCAGCUGCAGGUGCAAGGCACGGCCCCCAGCGCCCCAGCGCCCCAGCGCCCAGGCCCCAUGCCUGAGAGCGGCGAUGUUCCCGAGGCCGCCCCAGCUCACAAGAAGACAUUUUCGGGCUACCCAAGCCUUUAUGGCCCACGAAAAGCAUGCGUUAAACUCAUUCACCCAAAAUCGGACCGAACUGCUGGCCAGGACACAGACUGGCAGAGGCCAAUGGCCCACCAGAGAGACUUUCCUCCAGUUCCAACGCAGACUUCCUCGGUGGCUUUCCACUGCCCUCGAAUUCUGAGAACGGCAUUCAGGGCCUCCUGCGAUGAUGCUGUCUCUCUGCCCUGCCUUGCCAUCUGCCUUCUUUCUCACUAGGACCAGCGUUAUCUGCCUUCUGUGUUUCCUGACCUUCCCUUUAGGCCCUUCCUCAUGCUAUUUCCUCUGUGCAUCCUAAAUCAUAGGAUCCACUUACUGGCUACAAGUCAUACCUGCCCUCAGCUGUGACCCCCAAGACUUCCGAGUGAUGCCGUCAGUUGCAGGUCCCUCCACAGGCCCUGGGCAUCCCCCCCAGUUCUUCCACCCUCCACUCUGAACCUUCAGUCCCAGCACAACCCCCGGUUUUGUCCCAGCCUGACCCAGCUCUUCACAGCCCAUCUGGAGCUCCACUGGGCGCACCAAGGUCUUGAACCAGAAGCUGCCCUCUGUGGACAAAUGUGCUUGAGAUGGUUCUCAUCCGGGCUCCAGUUGCUUCCUCACCUCCAUCUUCACGCCAUCCAGCCUCCUGAUUGACAUAUGCAGUCCUUGAAGAGAUGAGAUGCGGCCAGACGUGUGGAGUGGAAGGCCCUUUGGGAUCUUCCAGUCCAUAGGCAAAGCAGAAAUGGUGAACGAGGAAGCUGGCUUACACACACAGCGGAGCAGGCGAGGAGCAGGAGAGCACAUGCCGCACCUCUAGCCCGUUGCUGACCCCAGUGGGGUCAGAGAAGAUGGAGCCGAAUCUCUAUGUCAGUAUCCUGGUCGUUGAGUGUCAGCAACUAAUUGAACAUUAAAAAAAAAAUCCUGUAUAGGCAAGCACACCUGUGGGAAGGAGGCUCUUGGAUUCCCAAUUUGCAAACUCCCGUGGUCCAGACCCUUCACCCUAUGGAUAUGGAGGCCAGUGUCAUGUAGCAGAUCCGCAGGACAGGGACAGGACCUGGACCUCACACCUUCUGUGCAGCACUCGCCACCAGCCACCCGGAAGCCAGAAAGCAACUCUGGCCAAUGCAACAAGCCUCUAGCGAGUGUUCCCCUGGGAAAGAGGUCCUGGGCGGAGACAAAGACAAAGGAGUUUUUUUUAAAAAUGCCUGCCUUUGCUCCUUGACACUUCACUUAGCCUGGAGCCCAGGGUCGGGCAGGUUGGAACAAACUAACUCAUAUUCAGGAAAGAGCCUUGCAUGUCCCUGGAGUUCCUGGGGGCACAGGACACGUGAACCUCAAUUCAGGGGACUCAGCAGGGGGACAUUUUCUAAACUUCACAUAUGGAAAUAAACUUCAAACUUACUGAAAUGCUGCAAGAAUAAAAGUAAUAUGGACCCUUUA